AGUGAACGCUGGCGGUAUGCCUAACACAUGCAAGUCGAGCGACAGCACAGUAAGCUCUCUCCCUUACCGUUGGCGGGUGGCGGACGAGUGAGGCAUACAUCGGCUUCCUCUUUGUCUUGGGGGAUAACGGGGGGAAACUUACACUACUACCUCAUACGUCCUACGGGUGAAAGCAGUAGAGCUUGGGACCUUGCCUGUCUGUUUUAGACGGAGCCGGGUCGGAUUAGCUAGUUGGUAAGGUAACGGCUCACCAAGGCAACGAUGCGUAGCCGACCUGAGAGGAUGAUCGGCCACACUGGAACUGAGACACGGUCCAGACUCCUACGGGAGGCAGCAGUAGGGAAUCUUGCACAAUGGGCGAAAGCCUGAUGCAGCCAUACCGCGUGAGUGAAGAAGGUCUUCGGAUUGUAAAACCCUUUUAUUGGGAAAGAAAAAAAGUAUAAUAAACCCCCGAUGUUUUGACGGUACCCAAAGAGUAAGCCCCGGCUAACUUCGUG
rnacentral:rRNA from 1 species